rnacentral:lncRNA from 1 species
CCAUGACCAUCUUUCCUGUCCCGUCAGCCUCAACUUUACUCAUACAGUUUCCUCUUUUCACUUUGGUCAAGAGGAGGGGCAGAACGUUUGACUGGAGCACUAGCUAAUGGUAAUUCAUUGCUGCCUUUUGUCUUACAGCCUCUAAGAGAUCUGGACAGCAAAGGCCGAUGCAUUUCUCAGUUUGGGGUCAGUUUCUUUCACCGGCAGCGCUACAUAACUCAGAUACAGACAGGAAUCAUCUCCUGGCAGAGUUUUGGUGCGAAGCAUCCUUCUUUUCUUAUUCUGAAGAUGAGCACUGAGGAGGUGACUUACACAACCCUGAGAUUUCUUCAGUCUCCUUCAGAGGCACGGAAUAAACUAAGACCCAAUGCAACUAAACGGCCCAGAGAAGCUGAUGAGAAAGGUUUAUGUUUUAAGCAACUACACUGACCUGUUUCUUAUGACUUGCCAAGCUUCUGACAUUUGGAGGAAAGGUCUUAUCUUCCCCUUCUAAUUGUCAGCUGGUAGCGC